rnacentral:lncRNA from 1 species
UGUCUUCUCUAUAGGAGCAAAAAUGGCGGAUGAGAGUACUCAUCUCUAUAGUGCUCUAUUUAUGUAGUUUGAAAAAAGUUCGAAAAGUUGAUAGUUGAUAUCUACUACUCGGUAUGCAGUAUGUGGAUGGCCAUACCCCAUCGCAUAGCCGCAUAGCAUAGUCGAAAAAAAGUCUGAAAAAAGGACGACAAGGCGACAAGAGAAAAAAAAUCUGGAAAUCCGGAAAAUCUUUGUUAACCUAGUCAAAACUUUUUUUUUCUAAAUGUUUAAAUGCAAACAUUGCAAUAUUCAAGUGAGCCCAGAUAAUGCCGCGAAAUACGAUUGUAUUAAUAAAGGUGAUACAAUAUUCUUAGAUGAUGAUAACAAUUUCUUUUACGACGAUGACGUCUCAAAAGAACCAAGAGCUGUUAUCGAUGAAACUACUGAUUAUAAAGAUUAUGAGAUUCUUGAAGAAAGUAAUUAAGAAGAAGAAUAUAAAGAGCGUGAUUCUCGUAAUUGUACGGAAAGUAUAAAAAAAUUAAGUGCAGUAUGGAUCAAAAAUGCAACUUUAUCGCUUUUGAGUUUAUAUGAAGCGAAUAUCGACAAACUGGAUCAUACAAAUAAAAAAACUCAAUUAUAGAAUACAAUUUCUCUCGGUUUGAAAUCACUUGAUUUACCGUAUUCUUCAGAUCAAGUUAAAUGGAAGAUGAACGCUCUUUUGUCUAAAUAUAAAUCAUGUUUGGACAAUAAUUCUAGAAGCGGACGUGAAUAUCAAACCUUUGAUUAUUAUGAUGUUAUACAUCAGAUAAUGCAAAAAAAAAAAA